rnacentral:rRNA from 1 species
GACUACUGGGGUAUCUAAUCCUGUUUGCUCCCCACACUUUCGCGCCUCAGCGUCAGUUGCAGUCCAGUUACCCGCCUUCGCCACCGAUGUUCCUCCCGAUAUCUACGCAUUUCACCGCUACACCGGGAAUUCCGAUAACCUCUCCUGCACUCAAGCUCUAUAGUUUCCAAAGCAAUUCCUCCCUUGAAAAGAGGACUUUCACUCCAGACUUAUAAAGCCGCCUACGCGCCCUUUACGCCCAAUCAUUCCGGACAACGCUUGCCCCCUACGUAUUACCGCGGCUGCUGGCACGUAGUUAGCCGGGGCUUCCUCCUUGGCUACCGUCUUCUUCUCUUCACCAAGGACAGAAGUUUACAAUCCGAAAACCUUCUUCCUUCACGCGGCGUUGCUGGGUCAGGGUUUCCCCCAUUGCCCAAUAUUCCCCACUGCAGCCCCCCGUAGG